rnacentral:rRNA from 1 species
GAUGAACGCUGGCGGCGUGCCUAAUACAUGCAAGUCGAGCGAACGGACGAGGAGCUUGCUUCUCUGAUGUUAGCGGCGGACGGGUGAGUAACACGUGGAUAACCUACCUAUAAGACUGGGAUAACUUCGGGAAACCGGAGCUAAUACCGGAUAAUAUUUUGAACCGCAUGGUUCAAAAGUGAAAGACGGUCUUGCUGUCACUUAUAGAUGGAUCCGCGCUGCAUUAGCUAGUUGGUAAGGUAACGGCUUACCAAGGCAACGAUGCAUAGCCGACCUGAGAGGGUGAUCGGCCACACUGGAACUGAGACACGGUCCAGACUCCUGCGGGAGGCAGCAGUAGGGAAUCUUCCGCAAUGGGCGAAAGCCUGACGGAGCAACGCCGCGUGAGUGAUGAAGGUCUUCGGAUCGUAAAACUCUGUUAUUAGGGAAGAACAUAUGUGUAAGUAACUGUGCACAUCUUGACGGUACCUAAUCAGAAAGCCACGGCUAACUACGUGCCAGCAGCCGCGGUAAUACGUAGGUGGCAAGCGUUAUCCGGAAUUAUUGGGCGUAAAGCGCGCGUAGGCGGUUUUUUAAGUCUGAUGUGAAAGCCCACGGCUCAACCGUGGAGGGUCAUUGGAAACUGGAAAACUUGAGUGCAGAAGAGGAAAGUGGAAUUCCAUGUGUAGCGGUGAAAUGCGCAGAGAUAUGGAGGAACACCAGUGGCGAAGGCGACUUUCUGGUCUGUAACUGACGCUGAUGUGCGAAAGCGUGGGGAUCAAACAGGAUUAGAUACCCUGGUAGUCCACGCCGUAAACGAUGAGUGCUAAGUGUUAGGGGGUUUCCGCCCCUUAGUGCUGCAGCUAACGCAUUAAGCACUCCGCCUGGGGAGUACGACCGCAAGGUUGAAACUCAAAGGAAUUGACGGGGACCCGCACAAGCGGUGGAGCAUGUGGUUUAAUUCGAAGCAACGCGAAGAACCUUACCAAAUCUUGACAUCCUUUGACAACUCUAGAGAUAGAGCCUUCCCCUUCGGGGGACAAAGUGACAGGUGGUGCAUGGUUGUCGUCAGCUCGUGUCGUGAGAUGUUGGGUUAAGUCCCGCAACGAGCGCAACCCUUAAGCUUAGUUGCCAUCAUUAAGUUGGGCACUCUAAGUUGACUGCCGGUGACAAACCGGAGGAAGGUGGGGAUGACGUCAAAUCACCAUGCCCCUUAUGAUUUGGGCUACACACGUGCUACAAUGGACAAUACAAAGGGCAGCGAAACCGCGAGGUCAAGCAAAUCCCAUAAAGUUGUUCUCAGUUCGGAUUGUAGUCUGCAACUCGACUACAUGAAGCUGGAAUCGCUAGUAAUCGUAGAUCAGCAUGCUACGGUGAAUACGUUCCCGGGUCU